rnacentral:lncRNA from 10 species
GGAGGAGCAAGGGGAAGGGAGGAGGCAAGCGUGGAAAGGUGAGAAGAGGUGAGGCAGAGGCCUACGUGGAGAGGCAGAGCCUGGGACGCUGCCUGCGGGGGAGGUCAGGUGAGGAGCAGGGAGGGCGGAGGCUGUGAGCAGCCACCCUGGAACAGAGCUCGGAACACCAUUGCUUUUGCCUUCCUUCAGCCUGAAACACUGCCUGGCCACAAAGCAGAAGCAGCAGUUGCUUUCUUAACAGGAGGCAGAGCCGUUGUUGGGUGACCCUCUUCUCAUUCCCUUGAAGAAUCUCAGCCCAUGCCCCCAUCCCUUCUGGCCUGGAGACACCAGUGUUGGGGAGUUUUGUGUAAAACAGUAACAAAGACCUCGUGUCCGAAGCAGCACCCUUUACCUCUGUUGUCAGGGCCACAGGGAAACCCGCACCCAGCCGGACAGGAGUCAGAGGCUGUUGUCAUGGUAACUGGCAUCCCAAGGCCUGGUCUGCCUCCUGCCUCCUUUAUCGGGCUAUGAUGGUCACUGCUUCCUCUGCGAAGCACCUGUCAUGUGUGGGGGUUUGUGCCAAGCUCUUUCCAUGCACUAGGUAAGCCAUGUCAUAACCACACGAUGAGAUACGACUUGUGUGUGUGUGUGUGUGUGUGUUUUCUUCUAGAGAUACAAUUAUUAAUCUUACAUUACAGGGGGAGAAACCAGGCAGCCCACCUUCAGAGCCCGCGUCUUAACUGUGACCCCACGUUGAAAUAAAAUGUGGAAACUGCCCAC